rnacentral:lncRNA from 1 species
CGUAUGCGAAGGGCCAGAGAAGCCAGACCCAGUAAGAAAAAAUAGCCUAUUUACUUUAAAUAAACCAAACAUUCCAUUUUAAAUGUGGGGAUUGGGAACCACUAGUUCUUUCAGAUGGUAUUCUUCAGACUAUAGAAGGAGCUUCCAGUUGAAUUCACCAGUGGACAAAAUGAGGAAAACAGGUGAACAAGCUUUUUCUGUAUUUACAUACAAAGUCAGAUCAGUUAUGGGACAAUAGUAUUGAAUACCAGCUUUAUGCUGGAGUAACUGGCAUGUGAGCAAACUGUUGGCGUGGGGGUGGAGGGGUGAGGUGGGCGCUAAGCCUUUUUUUAAGAUUUUUCAGGUACCCCUCACUAAAGGCACCGAAGGCUUAAAGUAGGACAACCAUGGAGCCUUCCUGUGGCAAGAGAGACAACAAAGUGCUAUUAUCCUAAGACCCUUCACCCCUCACCUCGAUGCAGCCGGUAGCUUGGAUCCUUGUGGGCAUGAUCCAUAAUCGGUUUCAAGGUAAUAGCCUGCAGCUGGUGUUUUGAGAAGCCCUACUGCUGAAAACUUAACAAUUUUGUGUAAUAAAAAUGGAGAAGCUC